AGAGUUUGAUCAUGGCUCAGAGCGAACGCUGGCGGCGUGCUUAACACAUGCAAGUCGAGUGCGCGGUUGUAGCAAUACAACUGGCGCACGGCGCACGGGUGCGUAACACGUGGGUAAUCUGCCCUCUGAUGGGGGAAUAACUCGCCGAAAGGCGAGCUAAUACCGCAUAACAUUCCUUGGACUCCGGUUCGAGGAUUCAAAGGCGUAAGUCGUCGGAGGUGGAGCCCGCGCACGAUUAGCUAGUUGGUAGGGUAAAGGCCUACCAAGGCUAUGAUCGUUAGCUGGUCUGAGAGGAUGGCCAGCCACACUGGAACUGAGACACGGUCCAGACUCCUACGGGAGGCAGCAGUGGGGAAUCUUGCACAAUGGGCGAAAGCCUGAUGCAGCGACGCCGCGUGGGGGAUGAAGCUUCUCGGAGUGUAAACCCCUUUCGACCGGGACGAAUACCUCGCAAGAGGGGUGACGGUACCGGUAUAAGAAGCCCCGGCUAACUACGUGCCAGCAGCCGCGGUAAGACGUAGGGGGCCAGCGUUGCUCGGAAUUACUGGGUGUAAAGGGUUCGUAGGCGGUGUGGCAAGUCGGGAGUGAAAUCUCUGGGCUCAACUCAGGGGCUGCUUCCGAAACUGCCGUGCUAGAGUGUGGGAGAGGCGCGUGGAAUUGCAGGUGUAGCGGUGAAAUGCGUAGAUAUCUGCAGGAACACCCGUGGCGAAAGCGGCGCGCUGGACCACUACUGACGCUGAGGAACGAAAGCUAGGGGAGCAAACAGGAUUAGAUACCCUAGUAGUCC
rnacentral:rRNA from 1 species